UUUAAUUUUGGUGACACAAUAACUCUUCCAGAAGUCGCUUUAAAAAAAAAUCUUUAAGUGCCUUGCAAAGAUAAAGUUAAGUAGACUAGGUUCUUGUUGUGGGGAGGAAAGGGUUAAAAAAAUUGGGGAAUCCUAGUUUUGAGACAAGUCUUCCACUGCUCCACGUGACUUAUAGAUCAUCUUGUUUGAUGAGUGAAAUGCCCACCUUCCUGAUUACGUAUGGAAUCUUCUAGCAGAAUGUUUGGGCAGGCUACCAUUGGUCUGGGGUCACCCUCAUCUGCCUGCCUUCUGUUCAUAGGAGGCUAGAAGACAUGUUUCUCUUUGGUCACAGACAGUGAAUGCAAUCAUACUUAUUUCAUCUCCUAGGGUUCUAGAUGCAGCCUGAGUUUUAACUCCUUGAGGGCUUCUGCUUAGACCCGUACUACCAGAAUUAAGUAGGCUGUAGACACAGAAAUGCAAAGUUCCCAGACUAUCAGUCAUGCUGGUCCCUCCUUCCUGUUUUCUGGGGGCAGCCUGCGUCUUCACCAGAAUGCCCUUCUGGUGAAGGCACACACACACACACAACACACAACUGUGUAGCUUAUAGAUUAUGUAAGAAGAGACUGGAAGUUGGAGAUGAUUGGGUGUAUGGAUUAGCGCUGGAUAUGUCUGAGUUCCCAGCUAAGUACUGACCAGGGGUAUCACACUACCCCUGGUGAUCAUUAUUACGACUGCACAGUAGUACAUCCGAGGCGGAAUGCUUGCCUAACAUGCAUGAGGCCUUGGGUUCAGUUCCCAGGACUGAAACACCUCAGCCGGUCUAACUCAGCAGUGUCACCUGCCCCCAUGCCAGGUGUAUUUGACACCACUUACCUUUGAUUUAUUUCAAAAGUAUUACAGCUCUUUUUAAAAAAUUACAAAAUUGUGUUUGUAGGGUUUGUAUGUCUGGUGUGUUUAAAUCACAACAUGGUACCCUCUUGGUUGGACUUCAAUAUAAAACAUUCCAUGCAACGAGAAAGGUAUUUUAGGGGGAAAGUACCAUAGAGACGUAACUUUUUAAUUAUUUGGACAUGGUAUCAUAACGACUAUUUGGGUUUUUUUGUUGUUUGUUUGUGAGACAGUCUCAUUGCACAUAGCCUGGAACCUGCUUUGUAGACCAGGCUGGCCUCAACUCAGAAGUGGUCUGCUGCCUCCAGCUUCCUGAAUUCUGGGACUAAAGGCACUUGAUACCACACCUGGUUU
rnacentral:lncRNA from 1 species